UACGAAGGGGGCUAGCGCUGUUCGGAUUUACUGGGCGUAAAGCGCACGUAGGCGGACUAUUAAGUCAGGGGUGAAAUCCCGGGGCUCAACCCCGGAACUGCCUUUGAUACUGGUAGUCUUGAGUUCGAGAGAGGUGAGUGGAAUUCCGAGUGUAGAGGUGAAAUUCGUAGAUAUUGGGAAGAAUACCAGUGGCGAAGGCGGCCAACUGGUCCAGAUCUGACGCUGAGGUGCGAAAGCGUGGGGAGCAAACAGG
rnacentral:rRNA from 1 species